rnacentral:rRNA from 1 species
AAACGGCGUCUAUACAUGCAGUCGAGCGGACAGAUGGGAGCUUGCUCCCUGAUGUUAGCGGCGGACGGGUGAGUAACACGUGGGUAACCUGCCUGUAAGACUGGGAUAACUCCGGGAAACCGGGGCUAAUACCGGAUGCUUGUUUGAACCGCAUGGUUCAAACAUAAAAGGUGGCUUCGGCUACCACUUACAGAUGGACCCGCGGCGCAUUAGCUAGUUGGUGAGGUAAUGGCUCACCAAGGCAACGAUGCGUAGCCGACCUGAGAGGGUGAUCGGCCACACUGGGACUGAGACACGGCCCAGACUCCUACGGGAGGCAGCAGUAGGGAAUCUUCCGCAAUGGACGAAAGUCUGACGGAGCAACGCCGCGUGAGUGAUGAAGGUUUUCGGAUCGUAAAGCUCUGUUGUUAGGGAAGAACAAGUACCGUUCGAAUAGGGCGGUACCUUGACGGUACCUAACCAGAAAGCCACGGCUAACUACGUGCCAGCAGCCGCGGUAAUACGUAGGUGGCAAGCGUUGUCCGGAAUUAUUGGGCGUAAAGGGCUCGCAGGCGGUUUCUUAAGUCUGAUGUGAAAGCCCCCGGCUCAACCGGGGAGGGUCAUUGGAAACUGGGGAACUUGAGUGCAGAAGAGGAGAGUGGAAUUCCACGUGUAGCGGUGAAAUGCGUAGAGAUGUGGAGGAACACCGUGGCGAAGGCGACUCUCUGGUCUGUAACUGACGCUGAGGAGCGAAAGCGUGGGGAGCGAACAGGAUUAGAUACCCUGGUAGUCCACGCCGUAAACGAUGAGUGCUAAGUGUUAGGGGGUUUCCGCCCCUUAGUGCUGCAGCUAACGCAUUAAGCACUCCGCCUGGGGAGUACGGUCGCAAGACUGAAACUCAAAGGAAUUGACGGGGGCCCGCACAAGCGGUGGAGCAUGUGGUUUAAUUUCGAAGCAACGCGAAGAACCUUACCAGGUCUUGACAUCCUCUGACAAUCCUAGAGAUAGGACGUCCCCUUUCGGGGGGCAGAGUGACAGGUGGUUGCAUGGUUUGUUCGUCAGCUUCGUUGUCGUGAGAUUGUUUGGGUUUAAGUUCCCGCAACGAGCGCACCUUUGAUUCUUAGUUUGCCAGCAUUUCAGUUUGGUCAACUCUUAAGGUGAACUUGACUGGAUGAAUCAACCGGAAGGCAAUGU